UGUUAUCAUUUCCUUCAUCUCGACGUCUGUGACCGACGGAGCUAUGCGGGUAAGGUAUAACCAAAACCUAUUAGAGUUAGGAUCACUUAAUGGGACUGUCAACACGGCACGAGACGAUGUUGAUAUAGGCGCUGUACCCGUGAGCAGUGGGGCAUUAGGGUUGGUAUCCGGCGGCGGAAAAUUAACAAGCCUCCGCUUAGGUGGAUUUCGGGAUGGUGCGUUUUGUGAUAUACGAUCGAGCUCACCGGGGCGAGAGCUUAUAGGAGUGGCCACAGAAUUAUUCAUUAGAAGCGGUAAGCCAGGGGGAGCAGUAAGCAACGUAGUGUGCGUGUUAGCAUUAGUUGCGUGGAACGCGGCUAGAACAUCUUUCUUGACUGCGUCCAAGGCAUCCGUGAGACGACAAUCAAAUUCUCCAAGAAGCUCCAGCUUCAGGUUUGAAAGAGCAGCUAGCAUUCCAUUAAGUGAAAAACCCUUACUGGCGCAUGAUUCAUUGCAGCUAGUGCAGAUCCAAAGAGUUUGUGAGUCAGGGCGUUUCAGCUCGGACAUGACCACCUCACACACACUCAAGCAGCCAAAGUGGAGCAGCACAGGAGGGGCAGGAUUCGGCCAUGAUGAAGAAA